ACGCUCGUAACUCAAUUGGAACAGAGUAGCUGACUCUUAAUCAGUGAGAUGUCGGUUCAACUCCGACCGAGCGUACCA
rnacentral:tRNA from 1 species